rnacentral:rRNA from 1 species
GACAGAGGUGCCGAGCGUUAGGCGGAAUCACUGGGCUUAAAGCGUGUGUAGGCGGGUCGUUAAGUGCCUUGUGAAAUCCCACAGCUCACCUGUGGAACUGCUUGGCAUACUGGCGAUCUUGAGCCACUUAGGGGCAACCGGAACAAACGGUGGAGCGGUGAAAUGCGUAGAUAUCAAGAGGAACACCUGAGGUGAAGACGGGUUGCUAGGCUGACACUGACGCUGAGGCGCGAAAGCCAGGGGAGCAAACGGG